rnacentral:rRNA from 1 species
GGCUUAACACAUUGCAAGUCGAACGCCCCGCAAGGGGAGUGGCAGACGGGUGAGUAACGCGUGGGAAUCUACCCAAUUCUUCGGAACAACUGAGGGAAACUUCAGCUAAUACCGAAUGAGCCCUUCGGGGGAAAGAUUUAUCGGAAUUGGAUGAGCCCGCGUUGGAUUAGCUAGUUGGUGGGGUAAAGGCCUACCAAGGCGACGAUCCAUAGCUGGUCUGAGAGGAUGAUCAGCCACACUGGGACUGAGACACGGCCCAGACUCCUACGGGAGGCAGCAGUGGGGAAUAUUGGACAAUGGGCGCAAGCCUGAUCCAGCCAUGCCGCGUGAGUGAUGAAGGUCUUAGGAUUGUAAAGCUCUUUCACCGGUGAAGAUAAUGACGGUAACCGGAGAAGAAGCCCCGGCUAACUUCGUGCCAGCAGCCGCGGUAAUACGAAGGGGGCUAGCGUUGUUCGGAUUUACUGGGCGUAAAGCGCACGUAGGCGGACUAUUAAGUCAGGGGUGAAAUCCCGGGGCUCAACCCCGGAACUGCCUUUGAUACUGGUAGUCUUGAGUUCGAGAGAGGUGAGUGGAAUUCCGAGUGUAGAGGUGAAAUUCGUAGAUAUUCGGAGGAACACCAGUGGCGAAGGCGGCUCACUGGCUCGAUACUGACGCUGAGGUGCGAAAGCGUGGGGAGCAAAC